CUGGAUUUGAUUCUGUUGCUGCUGGUACCAGCAGAAUUUUACUAAAAGACAGAACAAAACCAAAAAAAGGCAAAUAGUAGCAUCUAUGUUUUAGGAUUUGGUUUUUUGUUUAUUUGGUUUUUUUGAUGGGUAUGAGAAGAAAUGAGGUACGCUGAGGUAGGUGAAGGUGGAUGAGACAUGGUAGUGGAGCAGUAGGAAAGGGAACCUUCCUUCACUGAUGUUUACAGUACAAGAAGGUGAGAACAUCAACAGAUAUUUUGAUUUUUAAGGGCAAAUGAUGAUACUGACGGACAACAAAUGCUGCAAAGCAGAAACAGAUUCACUGGGAACUUGUCAGGCACAUGGACUAUUGAGCAUGAAGUCAGAGAUGCCAUCUGCUGUUCAGGUGAUGCAUAAGCCAUAUGCAGAAUGAGAAUUUAGGAUAUUGAUGAAAGCUUUGCUUUAUUCCUCGUGCUAGGUUUAGGCUUCUUCUGCAAACACGUGCAGGCUGCAGGGCUGGGUGCCUUUCUGAUCUUAGCCAUUCUGCUUCAUCCUUGAGGGAGUUAAAAUCUGCACACCUGCACACAUAUGCACACAUAUUCUGCAAGCACUCUGACCUGCUGUACAUGUUCCUGCUCAGUGCAGGGGAGUUGGACUAAGUGGCCCUUCAAGGUCCCUUCCAACUCUUAACAGUUCUGUGAUCUGAUGGUUGUAUGUACAUAAAAGUUUUGUGUAUAUAUAUGCUUGUGUAUGUUUCUAAGAUGAGUGUGCAUACUAUGUACCUUAAGCAUUGUAUGGGAACUGCUGAAUCACGGCCUGAACCUUUUAUUGAUCACCUGAGGCGAGCAAUGAAUCAGCCAUGGGAGCACAGGUGAAGGCAAUUCAGCUGUGUUGCUGGAAGGGGUGGAGCCUGGCUCCCUCUCUCCUAGACCUAUUUAAGAGCUGACUACCAGUGGAGAAGGAUCUCUUUCUGGAGAUCUGCUCCUUUGGAGUUUUAUAGUGAGCCCAGGACACAGCUUGAAGGAACAGUGAAUCCACAUCUGUGAAAUGCAGUAUUACGUGCAAAGCACAGGACAGGCAGCUUUUGUGGUGGGGGACAUUUUGAGAACUGAGUAACACAGACCCUGCUGUACUGCAAUAAAAGGGCAGCUGAAGGAAGGAGAAAGGUCAGUCUUGGAAAGGAAGAUACACAUUUGGAUGUGAUUUGAUGUGGCUUGUCCUCCAGACAGGACAGUGUACGUGCUACUAUGUAGAGCAGAAUCAAAGAAUUGCAGCAUCAGUUGAGUUGGAAGGGACCCUUAAAAGUCAACUAGUACAACUCCCCUGCAAUGAACAGGGAUGUCUACAGCAGAUCAGGGUGGAAUAUCCACUGCCUGGUAGGUCAAAGCUUCUUCCAGAAGCCAUCAGCUCUUGGAAUAUUUCAGAUGCUGCACAAAUGUGAGCAAGUAAAACAAGGAUGCCAGAAGCAUUAGUGUGGCAAGGGGAGGAAUGUAUUCUGUGUGCUACCUGCAGUCAGGUCACGACUUGUAGAGCAUGUUCAAGCAGCUCACUAUCACAGAAUCAAAGGAUGAUUUGGAGGAGCUUUAGACUGGACUUACAAUGUCACCCUCUUUUUCUUCCUAAGUAUAGUUUUAAAGCAGUCUUUAGCAAAGCCUUUAGCAGGCUCCCAGAAUUGGCCCAGCACAACAAACACAGACUUGUUGGUGUCUGUAUUACAGACAGCUGCCAUAAUCAGUGUAUGAAUUAACAGUGCUCCUUCAGACAGCUGCAUCAUUGUUAUCCUGGGGCCGUCUGGACUGAACCUUCCAUAUCUAACCCGAAGUCAUCUACAAGCCUACAGAUUCAUUCUCCUGACACAACUGUGUUAGAAGUGCUGCCCAAGGACCUGUUGCACACGCAGGUGACAGCCCCUGUGUGACCCAGUGGUGCCUUACCAGAGCUGAUGACUGCAGUGUGCUCACCACACACCUGAAGAGCCAGCAGUCCUACACAUUCCUUUGUCCUGAACACUACAGGCAAUGACAACACCACAUGACAACUGGACUUCUUGAAAUCCUUCUAAAUACAUUUUUUUAUACCUUUAUAUAUUUUUACGUGUUCUUAAGACCACACAAGUUCUUCGUAGUAAGUAAAUUCAUCAUAUUUCUACCCUUCCUCUUCAGACAUUUGUGCAGUCUACUUCUUUUGUUCAUAGUUAAGACAUCAUUAUAAUAGGGACAAGAAGCCUACCCUGCCCUUCAUGUCAUUUGACAAGUGUCAGAGGAAUCUGAAGAUGUUAUGAUUUGCCUUGCUGGUGCUUAACAGAACCUAAAUGUUAAUAGGAAGAGCGUUGGAUGCAGCAGACAGGUUCUUGAACAGCACUUCAAGCUCAUCAUCUCAAAGCCGAGUAAAGAUAAUUCAAAGUUUUUUUUCCUGUCUCCAUGCUCCAUUCUGCUCCCAUAACAGCAAACACUUCUAACCAAAUUUGAGUAAAUAAUAGCUGGGAUAUGACAUAUAAAUGAUUCACAGGAACAGAAUUACAGAAAUCACCAGGUUUUAACAGAUAUGAGUGGAUCGGGUGCUGUCAGUGUUCCUGUCCAAUGGUUCCCUGCCAAAACUUUCUCUGCACUGCUCAUACUGAUGGCCUACAAUGAUAACCAAAAGCCCCACCAGCUGGUGUUUGCACUGCUCUUUGGGUGCUCAUCUCUGCUGCUUCACCUUAACUACCCAUGGACUGUGGAGACCAGUAAGAGGAAAGCAUAGAAAACAGAAGGGUCCUCAGUAGAGGGAUGUGCUCAUAAGCAGUGUUUUCCUCCAAGAUGACUUGGCUGUUGUCUGCUUAUGUUAAUGGUGGAGCGGACGCAAGGCUCUGUAUGGGCACCUGGCAGUAACAUGCUGACACAGGUCCUUGGGAUGAGAAUAGAGUUAAAUGAGGCCCUUCAGCUUCAACAGGGUGGAAAAUCCUGUGUGUGUGUGUGUGUGUGUGUGUGUGUGUGCGCGCGCUCCUAAAGCCUGUUUUUCCCCUCUCACACAUGCUCUUGUUCUCUGUGUCUGUUUUGGCUGCCUUGCUAGCCGCUUUGUCAUUGUGUCACUAGGUGUGAAGCAAAGAUUAAGGGUUUUUUUUGUUGUUCUUUUGCUGAAGUGUCUGGACAAUGUGAAUCUGCUUCUGCCAAGAUACUGCAAGUACUGCAGUGACAGAAAGGAUAACCCAUCAGAAAGAGUGGGAAGGAAAGGCGAUCAGCACUACUGGCACUUCUUUCUGCCAAAUGGGCAGCAGCAGCGUCAGCAGUCCCACAGAGCCAAGUUUGCAUUUUCUGCAUGUCCUGGGCACUGCAGUGUUGUUAGUCUCCAUGCUGCUUUAGCAGAAAACCUGCUCCUUGUCUCUAAGGAAGCCAAAGCAUCUCAGCUUCAGUGGCUGGUUCAGUGCCCACAUACUCCUUGGGGCUCCUGUGCUCAGUCUUACAAAUCACAUCCCCUAUCCCUGAUUGUACUGCACUGCUCAUUUGUAGCAUUCAGUACUUCUGCAAAUUGCAUCUCAAGUCCAAAAGCUUGUGACUCCGCCAACCUUCAACAGAGCUAUCAGUUGAAGAUAAUGCCAAUGUAAUUUUAUCCCCCUCCAAAAAAAAAGAAAAGA